CUCUUUCCCCAAAAUUCCCAAAUGUAAAAUCCUACUCUCCCCUCUUUCCCCCCCUCUCUCUCUAUAUCUGUGAACUCUCUGCCGCCAUUUCCGCCUCUGGCCGUCGCCGCUGCCACCGCCUUCGUUCGUUGCCGCUGCCUCCUUCUCCUUUAGUCGCCCCUACCACCGCCUUCGUUCGUCGCCGCUGCCUCCGCCCCCGAUCUUCGCCACUGCCUCCGCCUCCUUUCGUCGCCCCUGCCACGGCCUCCGUUCGUCGCUUCUGCCUCCGCCUCCGGUCGUCGCCGCUGCCACCGCCUCCGUUCUCCAUCGCCGCCUCCGCCUCCGAUAUGAAGCAUGGGUGAUUUACAAUUUCUUAUCAUUGUGCUUGGCUUGGGUGGGUGGCCCAGGAGCCGUUGUAUUAAGUUAAAGUGGGCGGGUUCUGAAGCCAAACUGGUGUUUGAUGACGUGUUGCUUUCCUCCCAUUCCAUUGGAUGGGCGAUUUAUUCGGAGAUGCAAGCAAGGAUGUUUGCAGUUUGUAAUACUCAAGCCUAUUUUAGUAGCAGUCACGUUAAUACUUUAUGCGAAAGGGAAAUAUCAUGAUGGAAAUUUUCGUCCAGACCAGUCAUAUCUUUAUCUGACCAUCAUCUGUACCAUAUCAUAUUCAUUGGCCCUCUAUGCACUGGCCUUGUUUUAUGUAGCUUGCAGAGAUUUGCUUCAGCCAUUCAAUCCAGUUCCAAAGUUCAUAAUAAUCAAGUCCGUUGUUUUCCUGACCUAUUGGCAGAGGUGAAAAUUGGUGUAUGCGAGAAUGCUUUGGUGAAGGAGUAAUUUUGUGUCAUUUGUUGGAGAGUAAUGAGAGCAAAUAGGAGUCACAAAAAACAUGGGAAGGAUUGGGAAGUUAGAAGAAUGGGGGAAGUUAAAUUUGUCUAUUUUCAAAUUUAAUGAGUUGGCGCAUCAUGAGAAAGGGCCUAAAAAGAAGAGUGCAUUUAUUUUUGUGCCAUGAAAAGAAAGAGAGAACUGAUGGAUAUAAAUUGUCUCUAGUUUUCUUUGAAGAUUACAUUUUAUUCUUCUAUUGUCUAAGUGACACUUAUUCCUUAUUUGGCUGCUGUUCUAGCUAUCUCAUUUUUAAUUAACCAUUUAAUUUUGUAAGAAUAUCUUGUUGUUCGAGUUUCUAGCCAAUUGAAUAGAUCUUCUUAUCAGUCCAAAGCUCAUUUGGAUUCUAUAAGUAAGGAGGAUUUGAAAUUUCCCGCAUUGAUCAAUCGAAGUGGGAUUCAACAACCAGAAGAAACAACACUAUUACAUCCUUAGAAAUUUAUUCUAUGAGCCACAUCCAUGUCAUACUUUAAUCCUAUUGGUUUUCAUGGCUAGAGCCUUUACUUUGUCUGCCAUUUACUUCAGUGUCAGUCAUACACCUUUCACUACCACAAACAUCCACCAAGCUUUUGCCAAUUACCUGACUGCUAGUUACCGCCAUUGUGGUUACAUCUCUUCUACUUAUCAAAGUUAUUGAAAUGUCAUCAAUUGCUUUAGGUAAUGUUUAUAAUUCAAAGUUUAAUAA